CUCUAUGGCCAUGCCACCCUGAACAAGCCCGAUCCCGUCUGAUCUCGGAAGCUAAGCAGGGUCGGGCCUGGUUAGUACUUGGAUGGGAGACCACCUAGGAAGACCAGGUGCUAUAGGUA
rnacentral:rRNA from 1 species